GACAGAGGUGCCAAGCGUUAGGCGGAAUCACUGGGCUUAAAGCGUGUGUAGGCGGAUUGGUAAGUGCCUUGUGAAAUCCCACGGCUCAACCGUGGAACUGCUUGGCAUACUGGCGGUCUUGAGCAACCUAGGGGCGAGCGGAACAAAUGGUGGAGCGGUGAAAUGCGUAGAUAUCAUUUGGAACGCCAAUGGUGAAAACAGCUCGCUGGGGGUUUGCUGACGCUGAGACACGAAAGCCAGGGGAGCAAACGGG
rnacentral:rRNA from 1 species